CAGAGCCUGUUAAGUUUCACGUGGAAUGCUCAGUUUGAAAAACUAUAUAUAAAUAUAUUGCCAGUAAUGCUGACAGCGUUUACACUGUGAGGUAGAACCAGUUGGGCUGGAAACCAAAUUUGCUGAAGAGACUAGCUCUAGAGCAUGCAAGCUGUCGUGCAUAGGAAAGAUGGGAAAAGAAACUUGGAUUUAUCCUCUGUUGUAGAGCACUGAAGGAUACGCUUACCUGCAGUGUGUUUAAGACCUUGAACUCUGUGCCUGGCCUUGCAGCUUUAGCUAUCCGAUCCACCUCACAAUGACCAGCACUGAGGGCAUGACAUGGCACGCGAUCCUUCCUGCAGGAGCCUCGAUGGUGCUUGUGACAAGGUCAGGAUUGGUAAGGGAAAGACCUGGGUUCUUGUACCUACUCAUGAGACUCUUUCUGCAUUUCAUCCAGUGAGCGAAGUGGAGGUUUUCCCACCCUCAGGGAUCACUCUUACUGGCUUGGCCGGGGAAGGAAGAUGGCAGCUCUGGUGCGAUGCAGUCGUUUGA
rnacentral:lncRNA from 1 species